rnacentral:rRNA from 1 species
UACCAGCACCCCGAGUGGUCGGGACGAUUAUUGGGCCUAAAGCCUCCGUAGCCGGUUCUGCAAGUCCCCCGUUAAAUCCAGCUGCUCAACAGAUGGGCCGCGGAGGAUACUCCAGAGCUAGGAGGCAGGAGAGGCAAGCGGUACUCAGUGGGUAGGGGUAAAAUCCGUUGAUCCAUUGAAGACCACCAGUGGCGAAGGCGGCUUGCCAGAAUGCGCUCGACGGUGAGGGAUGAAAGCUGGGGGAGCAAACCGG